AUGAUUCGUGGGACGUCCUGCCGGUGGUGGCGAGUCGAAGGCGUGCUCCCGUUGUGGUUCCCACUUCGGUUCUUGCGCGCCCGAGGCGGACCCCGAUGAAAUCCUACCGCGGUGCUCUUCGCCGAGUGUCGAGGUGGGCCGGCACGUUUACUUUGAACAAAUUAGAGUGCUUAAAGCAGGCCUGUUGCGCCUGAAUACUGUGUGCAUGGAAUAAUGGAAUAGGACCUCGGUUCUAUUUUGUUGGUUUUCGGAACCCGAGGUAAUGAUUAAUAGGGACAGGCGGGGGCAUUCGUAUUGCGACGUUAGAGGUGAAAUUCUUGGAUCGUCGCAAGACGGACCGAAGCGAAAGCAUUUGCCAAGUAUGUUUUCAUUAAUCAAGAACGAAAGUUAGAGGUUCGAAGGCGAUCAGAUACCGCCCUAGUUCUAACCAUAAACGAUGCCAGCUAGCGAUCCGCCGAAGUUCCUCCGAUGACUCGGCGGGCAGCUCCCGGGAAACCAAAGCUUUUGGGUUCCGGGGGAAGUAUGGUUGCAAAGCUGAACUUAAAGGAAUUGACGGAAGG
rnacentral:rRNA from 1 species